CGAGUGGCGAACGGGUGAGUAACGCGUGAGGAACCUGCCCCAAAGAGGGGGACAACAGUUGGAAACGACUGCUAAUACCGCAUAAGCCCACGACCCGGCAUCGGGUAGAGGGAAAAGGAGCAAUCCGCUUUGAGAUGGCCUCGCGUCCGAUUAGCUAGUUGGUGAGGUAACGGCCCACCAAGGCAACGAUCGGUAGCCGGACUGAGAGGUUGAACGGCCACAUUGGGACUGAGACACGGCCCAG
rnacentral:rRNA from 1 species